AUUGAACGCUGGCGGCAGGCCUAACACAUGCAAGUCGAACGAGUGGCGGACGAGUGAGUAAUGUCUGGGAAACUGCAUGAUGGAGAGGGAUAACUACUGGAAACGGUAGCUAAUACCGCAUACCAUCGGAUGUGCCCAGAUGGGAUUAGCUAGUAGGUGGGGUAAAGGCUAACCGAGGCUACGAUCCCUAGCUGGUCUGAGAGGAUGACCAGCCACACUGGAACUGAUAAACGGUCCGUACGCCUACGGGAGGAAGCAGUGGGGAACAUUGCACAAUGGGCGCAAGCCGGAUGCAGCAAUGCCGCGUGUAUGAAGAAGGCCUUCGGGUUGUAAAGUACUUUCAGCGGGGAGGCGUUACCCGCAGAAGAAGCACCGGCUAACUCCGUGCCAGCAGCCGCGGUAAUAC
rnacentral:rRNA from 1 species